AACACGUAUGCAACCUACCUAUCAUUGGGGGAUAGCCUUUGGAAACGGAGAUUAAUACCGCAUAAGACAGUAACAUGGCAUCAUGUAGCUGUUAAAGCUUUGGCGAUGAUAGAUGGGCAUGCGUCCAAUUAGUUAGUUGGUGAGGUAACGGCUCACCAAGACGAUGAUUGGUAGGGGAUCUGAGAGGAUAAUCCCCCACACUGGCACUGAGAUACGGGCCAGACUCCUACGGGAGGCAGCAGUAGGGAAUAUUGGGCAAUGGACGGAAGUCUGACCCAGCCAUGCCGCGUGCAGGAAGAAGGCGUUAUGCGUUGUAAACUGCUUUUUUAUAGGAAGAAGGAGACCUUGCGAGGUUUGGUGACGGUACUAUAAGAAUAAGCACCGGCUAACUCCGUGCCAGCAGCCGCGGUAAUACGGAGGGUGCGAGCGUUGUCCGGAUUUAUUGGGUUUAAAGGGUGCGUAGGCGGUUUAUUAAGUCAGUGGUGAAAGACGGUCGCUCAACGAUUGCAGUGCCAUUGAUACUGGUAGACUUGAGUUCGUAUGAGGUAGCU
rnacentral:rRNA from 1 species